UACGGAAGGCAGCAGUGGGGAAUAUUGCACAAUGGGCGCAAGCCUGAUGCAGCCAUGCCGCGUGUAUGAAAAAGGCCUUCGGGUUGUAAAGUAUUUUCAGUCGUGAGGAAGGUGUUAAGGUUAAUAACCUUAGCAAUUGACGUUAGCGACAGAAGAAGCACCGGCUAACUCCGUGCCAGCAGCCGCGGUAAUACGGAGGGUGCGAGCGUUAAUCGGAAUUACUGGGCGUAAAGGGCACGCAGGCGGUUAAUUAAGUUGGAUGUGAAAUCCCCGGGCUUAACCUGGGAAUGGCAUUCAAGACUGGUUAGCUAGAGUCUUGUAGAGGGGGUAGAAUUCCAUGUGUAGCGGUGAAAUGCGUAGAGAUGUGGAGGAAUACCGGUGGCGAAGGCGGCCCCUGGACAAAGACUGACGCUCAUGUGCGAAAGCGUGGGGAGCAAACGAGGGAUUAGAUACC
rnacentral:rRNA from 1 species